AAAAUUGAAAGGACCAUACUACAGGGGUCAGCUCAGUUUGAAGGCUACACACCAGAGACUUCAUUUUUACAAUAAAAUAUGAUAUAGCUACAAAUUGAAANNNAAAAGAAAGAAAAAGUCAAAAAAAAAAAAAGGCAAAAAUAGUCACUCGGGAUUGCAGCACAAAAUGGAAACAAAUAUUUUUCGACCUCUUAAUAGGUCAAAGAAAUACAAAGAAUUUAUCCUAAAAAAAUAUUACCAGAUACUUUUCGCCUGCACAACCCCAUAGGAUUCUGAAGCUCCAGACAUGUUGAUAUUUUCAAACCUUUUGUUCCCAAAGCGUACUUUCUAUUUACUUGAAGUAGUCUUGCCGCAGAACUGUAACAAAAUUGGAGGUUUGCCCAUCUUCGUCUUUCUGCUUCCAAAGUUCCCCAUUGCCUUGGAUGUACCAUGAUACUUUUGGAGACAAUGGAGUAUAAAGAUCUGUUACAAAAGGUGGAUCAGGGUCUCUCGUACUAUGUAACACAGCAGUCCCGGAUAAUACAGUGAUAAACCCACAAAGCUCAGAUGCUAUACUGCUUGCACUUUGGCCAGAAUAAUCCUUGAACAUUAUAGCGCUAGCAAGUAUUGUAAAAGAUGUGAACAUGGCAUAAUAUAUUGGAGAAACAAUUGCUGUGUUGAAAGUAUCCAAUGCCAUGUUUAGAUAAUUUAAUUGAGUGAUGAUACAGGUAAUUGCAACCAUUGCAAAAACCCAUGUCUGGAAAUAUUUUGCCUGGUUUAUGCCCUCCAAUG
rnacentral:misc_RNA from 1 species